GUUCAAGGUUGCAACAGUAGCAAUAGCAAGAUUAGCAAGAACAUGAUCCCCAGUUGGGAUUCGUGUGGAUAUAGGAAUGGCAUCGAUGCAUUUCGAAAGAUUUUGCGUGCAGAUGGUCCAAGUGGGUUGUAUAGAGGGUUUGGGAUAUCAAUAUUGACUUAUGCACCAUCCAAUGCAGUUUGGUGGGCAUCUUACUCUGUGGCACAUAGGCUUAUUUGGGGUGGAAUCGCUUGCUCCACAAAUAAAAAGGACGAGAGUUCUGUAAAUGGUAGAGCCUUUGGUUAUAGGCCUGAUUCAAAGGCAAUGGGCAGGGGUUAUGUGCAGCCAUGGCUAGUGGGGUUUCAGCUAUGAUUACCAUGCCACUUGACACUAUUAAGACACGCAUGCAGGUUUUGGAUGGAGAGCAAAAUGGAAUAAGACAGCCAUUGACUGUUAUACAAACAGUUAAAAAUCUGGUCAAGGAAGGUGGAUUUGUGGCUU
rnacentral:misc_RNA from 1 species